rnacentral:lncRNA from 1 species
ACAGGACUCGGCCUGCUGUCCUUUUCAUCUUUGCCCUCAGAAGUUCGCUGAUGGAGUUUGCGAAAUGCCCAGGCCUGACUGUCCGCUCCUGGAGGGCGGGCACCCGCGGCGCCUGUCGCUGGGGCUUCUGAGGCAGGUCCCUUGCAGGAUGCGGGUGCUGCGAGGUGGAGUAGACUAGGACGCGGGCGGCUUUACUGCAAGCCCUUCUUCAGUGACGCAGCUGUGGAAAGUACUAAUAAAAAUGGAAUUGGCUGGGCAUAAUGGCUCAUGUUUGUAAUCUUAGCACUUUGGGAGAACAAGGUGGGUAGAUCACUUGAAUCGAGGAGUUCAGGACCAGCCUGGGCAACAUGACGAGACCCCCGUCUCUACAAAAAUUAGCUGGACAUGGUAGUGUGCAUCUGUAGUCCCAGCUACUCAGGAGGCUGAGCUGGGGUAAUUGCUUGAGCUGGGGAAUUUGAGGCUGCAGGGAGCCACAAUCGCACCACUGCACUCCAGCCUGGGCAGCAGAGUGAAACCCUGUCUCAAAAAAAAAAAAAAAUUUAUAUGUCAAGGAUAAAUAUAUAUGCAUAUGUGUGUAUGUAUGUGUCUGCAUAUGUAUAUGGACACACUCAUAUACACACACAAACACACUUUUAUUUUUCUUUCAGUUCU